CAGUCGCCGCGGGAAAACGUAGGGCGCAAGCGUUAUCCGGAAUUAUUGGGCGUAAAGAGCUCGUAGGCGGUUUGUCGCGUCUGCCGUGAAAGUCCGGGGCUCAACCCCGGAUCUGCAGUGGGUACGGGCAGACUAGAGUGAUGUAGGGGAGACUGGAAUUCCUGGUGUAGCGGUGAAAUGCGCAGAUAUCAGGAGGAACACCGAUGGCGAAGGCAGGUCUCUGGGCAUUAACUGACGCUGAGGAGCGAAAGCAUGGGGAGCGAACAGGAUUAGAGACCCCAGUAGUCCCUGUCUCUUAUAC
rnacentral:rRNA from 1 species